rnacentral:rRNA from 1 species
GACGAACGCUGGCGGCGUGCUUAACACAUGCAAGUCGAGCGGAAAGGCCCUUUCGGGGGUACUCGAGCGGCGAACGGGUGAGUAACACGUGAGUAAUCUGCCCCUGGCUUUGGGAUAGCCACCGGAAACGGUGAUUAAUACCGGAUACGACAACUUCUCGCCUGGGAAGGUGGUGGAAAGUUUUUCGGCCAGGGAUGUGCUCGCGGCCUAUCAGCUUGAUGGUGAGGUAAUGGCUCACCAUGGCUUCGACGGGUAGCCGGCCUGAGAGGGUGACCGGUCACACUGGGACUGAGACACGGCCCAGACUCCUACGGGAGGCAGCAGUGGGGAAUAUUGGACAAUGGGCGGAAGCCUGAUCCAGCGACGCCGCGUGAGGGAUGACGGCCUUCGGGUUGUAAACCUCUUUCAGCAGGGACGAAGCGCAAGUGACGGUACCUGCAGAAGAAGCACCGGCCAACUACGUGCCAGCCGCCGCGGUAA